rnacentral:rRNA from 1 species
AUACGGAGGAUCCGAGCGUUAUCCGGAUUUAUUGGGUUUAAAGGGUGCGCAGGCGGCCAUUUAAGUCAGCGGUUAAAUCGUGGGGCUCAACCCCAUUCUGCCGUUGAUACUGGGUGGCUUGAUUGCGGUCGAGGUUGGCGGAAUUCGUUGUGUAGCGGUGAAAUGCAUAGAUAUGACGAAGAACACCGAUUGCGUAGGCAGCUGACCAGACCGCAAAUGACGCUCAUGCACGCAAGUGCGGUGAUCGAACAGGAUUAGAUUCCCGGGUAGGCCGCACAGUAAACGAUGAAUACUUGUUUUCGGCGAUAUAAUGUCGGAGGCAAAGCGAAAGCGAUAAGUAUUCCACCUGGGGAGUACGCCGGCAACGGUGAAACUCAAAGGAAUUGACGGGG